rnacentral:rRNA from 1 species
GACGAACGCUGGCGGCGUGCUUAACACAUGCAAGUCGAACGGAAAGGCCCUGCUUUUGUGGGGUGCUCGAGUGGCGAACGGGUGAGUAAUACGUGAGUAACCUGCCCUUGACUUUGGGAUAACUUCAGGAAACUGGGGCUAAUACCGGAUAGGAGCUCCUGCUGCAUGGUGGGGGUUGGAAAGUUUCGGCGGUUGGGGAUGGACUCGCGGCUUAUCAGCUUGUUGGUGGGGUAGUGGCUUACCAAGGCUUUGACGGGUAGCCGGCCUGAGAGGGUGGCCGGCGACAUUGGGACUACGGUACGGCGCAGACUCCUACGGGAGGCAGCAGUGGGAAGUAUUGCACAAUGAGCGGGAGCGUGAUACGGCAGCGCCGCGUGCGUGAUAACGGCUUUCGGGUUGUAAACCGCUUUCGCCUGUGACGAAGCGUGAGUGACGGUAAUGGGUAAAGAAGCACCGGCUAACUACGUG